CACGUAGGAGGCUAGCGUUAUCCGGAUUUACCGGGCGUAAAGCGCGUGUAGGCGGCUCGGAUAGUUGGAUGUGAAAGCUCCUGGCUUAACUGGGAGAGGUCGUUCAAUACUUCCGGGCUCGAGAGUGGUAGAGGGAGGUGGAAUUCCGAGUGUAGUGGUGAAAUGCGUAGAUAUUCGGAGGAACACCAGUGGCGAAAGCGACCUCCUGGACCAUUUCCGACGCUCAGACGCGAAAGUUAGGGUAGCAAACGGG
rnacentral:rRNA from 1 species